AAGCUUUCCUCUUUCCUCCCUCAGAACGCUGCCUGAGAGACCUAGAUCACUCUUUGGUCAACUGUUCAACUAAUACCUGAAGAUUCAUUAUUGCCAAAUUAAUUUUGAAAUUACCAGCCACUUCUAUUGCACUUGAAAGUCUACUCAGGACUUGUUAAACUUUGGUAGAUCAUUCUGCACAGCUCACUGAAUGCAUCAUAAUACUGUCUCCCAAGCAUUCUCUGCUCCUCUCUGCUAUUCUACCCAAGGGACUGAAGAGGAAACACAGGCACAAAGCGUCCCACCUCUACUCCCCUCCCCACCCCCCACUUUUAUGGGGAAUGGAAACCCACGUCUUGAUAUUUGACUUCUAGUCCAUCUGAAGAUUUGUUCAGCUGAUACACUCUUAGGCUUAUUUUAUUUGUUUUGCAGAGUAAGUUCUUUUAUAGAGAGGGGUGUGACUGGUUCUUAUCAUGGCUCUGUUCACGAUAGGCAAGCUAUGGGACCAACCCACAUGUCUAUCAACCAGUGGACAAAGCAAAUGUGUUACAUGUACACAAUGGACUAUUAUUCUGCCACAAGGAAGAAGGAAGUGAUCAGCUGCUGAAAAAUUGAUGGAACUGGAGAUCAUGUCUAGUGUGAUAUCCCAAGCUCAGAAAGAUACUUUUCACAUGAUUUCUCUCAUAUGUAAAGUGAUUUGUUUUUAAAGGCUACGAAAGCAGAAGUGGGGGGAGAGCAGUGGAUGAGAAAGCGAGGAACAAGAGAAGACAACAGAUGUGUGAAUAUAAUAAACAACGUGUGUGGGAGCUAGGGACAGAAGUAUCAGGAAGGCCACUAUUUUGUACAAUUUAUAUGUGCUGAAUUAAAUAUCUAGGCUUUGGUGAAGCAUACAAGAUGUGCACACGUGUAAGCCAAGCAGGAAAUGAAUAUGGGUGCCCACUCCUAACCAAGAAACUACUUGAAAUUGAUAUACUCCAGCAAGAGAAAAAUCAAUUUUCUCCAAUGGAGUAUCACUGGGCAUAUCAGUCACACUUCAGGGCAAGGCUGGCUGCCCAGGGAUAAUCAGGCAACACUAAAGGAACUCAGUUGUAUUUUUGGAUUUUUUUUUUUUUUUUGGUCUUAUUGGUCUUCUGCCUGUUUGAUUUUCAUUUUUGUGCUUUUUUGGAGGUUUUCUUUCUAUUAUUUUUAUUUUUUAUUCUUAUUUAUUUAUUUAUUUCUAAGACACAGAGAGAACAUAAAGUUGAGUGGGUAGGGGGUAGGGAGUGGGGAUGCACUGGGAGAAGUUGGGACAGGAAAAAAACAUGAUCAAAAUAUAUUGUAUAAAAAAUUCUUCAAUAAAAAUAAUUGUGGGUGGGUAUGGGGGACUUUUGGUAUAGCAUUGGAAAUGUAAAUGAGCUAAAUACCUAAUAAAAAAUGGAAAAAAAUUGUAAAAUAUCUAGGGGCUGGAAAGUUGUCUCAAUGCAUAUCACAAACAUGAUAAGCUGAACUCAGAUCCAUGCAGGCAAAGAGGUCUGGAGAGAUGACUGCUGCCAAAUUGACUGACCUAAGAACUGAAUUCUGAAACUUGUUCUCUAACCUCUGUGUGCAUGCUGUGGCUCGAGAGCGCGCACACACGCACACACGCAUGCGCGCGCACACACACACACACGCACACACGCGC
rnacentral:lncRNA from 1 species